UACAGAGACUGCAAGCGUUGUUCGGAUUUAUUGGGCGUAAAGAGCUCGUAGGUGGUUCGGUAAGUCGGGUGUGAAAACUCUGGGCUCAACUCAGAGACGCCACCCGAUACUGCUGUGACUCGAGUCUGGUAGGGGAGUGUGGAAUUCCCAGUGUAGCGGUGAAAUGCGCAGAUAUUGGGAGGAACACCAGUGGCGAAGGCGGCACUCUGGGCCAGUACUGACACUGAGGAGCGAAAGCGUGGGUAGCGAACAGG
rnacentral:rRNA from 1 species